AUUGAACGCUGGCGGCAGGCCUAACACAUGCAAGUCGAACGAGUGGCGGACGGGUGAGUAACGUCUGGGAAACUGCCCGAUGGAGGGGGAUAACUACUGGAAACGGUAGCUAAUACCGCAUACCAUCGGAUGUGCACAGAUGGGAUUAGCUAGUAGGUGGGGUAACGGCACACCUAGGCGACGAACCCUAGCUGGUCUGAGAGGAUGACCAGCCACACUGUGACUGGGACGCGGUCCAGACUCCUACGGUGGGGAGCAGUGGGGAAUAUUGCACAAUGGGCGCAGGCCUGAUGCAGCCAUGCCGCGUGUAUGAAGAAGGCCUUCGGGUUGUAAAGUGCUUUCAGCGAUGAGGCGUUACUCGCAGAAGAAGCACCGGCUAACUCCGUGCCAGCAGCCGCGGUAAUAC
rnacentral:rRNA from 1 species